rnacentral:tRNA from 1 species
GGGAAGUUGGCUCAGUGGUAGAGCGCUCGCCUUGCAUGCCUGAGGCCCUGGGUUCGAUUCCUCAGCAUCACA